rnacentral:pre_miRNA from 1 species
UUUGUACUACCUCCGUCCCAAAAUUCUUGUCUUAAAUUUGUCUAAAUAUGGAUGUAUCUAGUUACAUUUUAGUGUUAGAUACAUCCGUAUCUAAACAAAUGUAAGACAAGAAUUUUGAGAUGGAGGGAAUACUAC